UACGGGAGGCAGCAGUAGGGAAUCUUCCGCAAUGGACGAAAGUCUGACGGAGCAAUGCCGCGUGAGUGAAGAAGGUUUUCGGAUCGUAAAACUCUGUUGUUAGAGAAGAACAAGGAUGAGAGUAACUGCUCAUCCCUUGACGGUAUCUAACCAGAAAGCCACGGCUAACUACGUGCCAGCGGCCGCGGUAAU
rnacentral:rRNA from 1 species